GGAGUUAGCCGGUGCUUCUUCUGUGAGUGAUGUCCUUCCUGCCGGUUAUUGACCCGCAGGCCUUCUUCCUCACUGAAAGUGCUUUACAACCCGAAGGCCUUCUUCACACACGCGGCAUGGCUGGAUCAGGGUUGCCCCCAUUGUCCAAUAUUCCCCACUGCUGCCUCCCGUAGGAGUCUGGGCCGUGUCUCAGUCCCAGUGUGGCUGAUCAUCCUCUCAGACCAGCUACGGAUCGUCGCCUUGGUGAGCCGUUACCUCACCAACCAGCUAAUCCGACAUAGGCUCAUCCGAUAGCGCGAGGCCCGAAGGUCCCCCGCUUUCCCCCGUAGGGCGUAUGCGGUAUUAGCCUGGGUUUCCCCAGGUUAUCCCCCACUACCGGGCAGAUUCCUAUGCAUUACUCACCCGUCCGCCGCUCGCCACCAGGGAGCAAGCUCCCCGUGCUGCCGCUCGACUUGCAUGUGUUAGGCCUGCCGCCAGCGUUCAAUCUGAACCAAGAUCAAAUUCUGA
rnacentral:rRNA from 1 species